rnacentral:lncRNA from 1 species
GUUUUUCUUAAUUUAUAAGCAAUAGGUCAACUUUAUUUGUUGUAUGAAAGAAUUGUUAGCUGUAAAUGUCUGCCUGACAUGGUUCAUCUGACCUUGACCUCAUUUUCAUGGUUCAUUGGUCAAUGUUUAGUUUUCUUGGUUAAUGUUGAGUUUAUGUGACAGUUGUAAUAAAGCUUUAUAUUUAGGACUAUCAACAUAAUAUCAAUGAUUAGUAAAGAAGGCAAG